rnacentral:rRNA from 1 species
GGAGCUAGCUCCCAAACGAUUAGCGGCGGACGGGUGAGUAACACGUGGGUAACCUGCCUGUAAGAUUGGGAUAACUCCGGGAAACCGGAGCUAAUACCGGAUAACAUUUCGAACCGCAUGGUUCGAAUUUGAAAGACGGCUUUUGCUGUCACUUACAGAUGGACCCGCGGCGCAUUAGCUAGUUGGUGAGGUAACGGCUCACCAAGGCAACGAUGCGUAGCCGACCUGAGAGGGUGAUCGGCCACACUGGGACUGAGACACGGCCCAGACUCCUACGGGAGGCAGCAGUAGGGAAUCUUCCGCAAUGGACGAAAGUCUGACGGAGCAACGCCGCGUGAACGAUGAAGGCCUUCGGGUCGUAAAGUUCUGUUGUUAGGGAAGAACAAGUACCAGAGUAACUGCUGGUACCUUGACGGUACCUAACCAGAAAGCCACGGCUAACUACGUGCCAGCAGCCGCGGUAAUACGUAGGUGGCAAGCGUUGUCCGGAAUUAUUGGGCGUAAAGCGCGCGCAGGUGGUUCCUUAAGUCUGAUGUGAAAGCCCACGGCU